AUUGAACGCUGGCGGCAGGCCUAACACAUGCAAGUCGAGCGGAUGAAGGGAGCUUGCUCCUGGAUUCAGCGGCGGACGGGUGAGUAAUGCCUAGGAAUCUGCCUGGUAGUGGGGGAUAACGUCCGGAAACGGGCGCUAAUACCGCAUACGUCCUGAGGGAGAAAGUGGGGGAUCUUCGGACCUCACGCUAUCAGAUGAGCCUAGGUCGGAUUAGCUAGUUGGUGGGGUAAAGGCCUACCAAGGCGACGAUCCGUAACUGGUCUGAGAGGAUGAUCAGUCACACUGGAACUGAGACACGGUCCAGGCUCCUACGGGAGGCAGCAGUGGGGAAUAUUGGACAAUGGGCGAAAGCCUGAUCCAGCCAUGCCGCGUGUGUGAAGACGGUCUUCGGAUUGUAAAGCACUUUAAGUUGGGAGGAAGGGCAGUAAGUUAAUACCUUGCUGUUUUGACGUUACCAACAGAAUAAGCACCGGCUAACUUCGUG
rnacentral:rRNA from 1 species